AGGAGCUCUAAUGCCUGGAAUACAAAAUUUAGCCCAAAUCCAAUGCCAAACAAUAAGAGCAUUCUGAGAGAAGAUGACUCCUUUAAUACCUUCUUCAACGGGACUAUUGUGGUCAAGCAUGGCUCCACAAAAUUGUUUGUGGACCUAGAGCCAAUACGUGGUGAUGAAGUUUGCCUUAGGAAGCGAUCACUAGCAAAGAAGAUGCAUCAAAUAGCUUUGCCUCUAGUCACUACACCGUUGAAAAGGAAAGCAUUGACUAAGUGUUGGAUUGGAUUCAGAAGCUAGCUGACUUAAGUACAGGUCUUCAGGCUUUCUUGAAUUUUUGCUGGUUGGUGGUAACUACAGUUUUUAUUUGCCUUUCUGUUGAUAGAAUCUCUAUCAGUUGAUUAUAGGAGCAAAAUUCUCCAUUUACCCAGCUCCUUAGCUUUCCUUAGCUGAAGCUGAGGUCUUCAAUUCCAUCAACUCUUUAGCACUUUGAUUGUGUCUUCAUAUUAGAUAAUGAGGCCAUCUAUAAUAUUUAUGUAGAAACCUUAAUAUUGAGCACCCAAUACACAAUAACCUUAAGCACAUUUUCAACCAGUGUGUAUUCUCCAUCAUUGUUUCUCUCAGAUUUCAUGGUGCCUUGAAUGUCAAUAUAUCAAAAUUUUAUACUUAUUCUCUAUCUUUAUGUCUACUUCCCUCCGUGUAUAUAUCCAGCUAUCUCUGCUGGGAAAACCUACCACAAACAUUUUCUGUAGCAGAGAUAACUAAUGCUUGCUCUGAGCUAGCCAACCAGAUGAUAUGUGACACUUGAAAUGAUAAAUGUAUGGCUCACUACCUAUUGUAUAGUAUUAUGGUAAUAAUACAUUAUUACUAUAUCAGUGUAAUAUGGUUUCCACAAAUAUGAAGGCUGCAUUGCCACCAUCAAGACAAAUUUGCAGAUCUGUGCCUCUCUGGCUUCAAGGUUGGAAUCAAUUAUCAGUGUCCCACUGCAGUUCUAGUAGAGACUGCCAAAGUAAAUGCAGUUGUGUGCUCAUGGAGCAAUACUGCAGUCAUAGCUGAAGCCUGGACUUGCCUAGACCGCAAGUUGGUCAUGCCAAGAGUGCCUUUGUUCACUGUGUAUAAGGGUGAAGAGAUGAAAGAAGGGGAGUAUUCAGAAGCAUGGAUGGCCUAGGGAAAGAUUAUAAGGCAAUGUGGAUUUCAGAGGAUCAGGGAAAGAAGGAGAGAAAUAUAA
rnacentral:lncRNA from 1 species